rnacentral:rRNA from 1 species
AACGAACGCUGGCGGCAGGCCUAACACAUGCAAGUCGAGCGCGCAGCAAUGCGAGCGGCAGACGGGUGAGUAACGCGUGGGAACCUUCCCAAUGGUACGGAAUAGCUCAGGGAAACUUGAGGUAAUACCGUAUACGCCCGAGAGGGGAAAGAUUUAUCGCCAUUGGAUGGGCCCGCGUAGGAUUAGCUAGUUGGUGAGGUAACGGCUCACCAAGGCGACGAUCCUUAGCUGGUCUGAGAGGAUGAUCAGCCACACUGGGACUGAGACACGGCCCAGACUCCUACGGGAGGCAGCAGUGGGGAAUAUUGGACAAUGGGCGCAAGCCUGAUCCAGCCAUGCCGCGUGAGUGACGAAGGUCUUCGGAUUGUAAACCCCUUUCGGGAGGGAAGAUGGAACGAGCAAUCGUUCGGACGGUACCUCCAGAAGCAGCCACGGCCAACUUCGUG